CGGAUGGUGGCGCAGUAGGCAGCGCGCCCGUUUCGGGUACGGGAGGUCGCCGGUUCGAGCCCGGCCCGUCCGA
rnacentral:tRNA from 1 species